rnacentral:rRNA from 1 species
UACGAAGGGGGCUAGCGUUGCUCGGAAUCACUGGGCGUAAAGCGCACGUAGGCGGCUUACUAAGUCAGGGGUGAAAUCCUGGAGCUCAACUCCAGAACUGCCUUUGAUACUGGUGAGCUUGAGUCCGGAAGAGGUGAGUGGAACUGCGAGUGUAGAGGUGAAAUUCGUAGAUAUUCGCAAGAACACCAGUGGCGAAGGCGGUUCUCUGGGACGGUACUGACGCUGAGACGCGAAAGCGUGGGGAGCGUAACGAGGA